AUUGAACGCUGGCGGCAUGCCUUACACAUGCAAGUCGAACGGUAACAGGUCUUCGGAUGCUGACGAGUGGCGAACGGGUGAGUAAUACAUCGGAACGUGCCCGAGAGUGGGGGAUAACGAGGCGAAAGCUUUGCUAAUACCGCAUACGACCCCAGGAUGAACGCAGGGGACCGCAAGGCCUUGCGCUCACGGAGCGGCCGAUGGCAGAUUAGGUAGUUGGUGGGAUAAAAGCUUACCAAGCCGACGAUCUGUAGCUGGUCUGAGAGGACGACCAGCCACACUGGGACUGAGACACGGCCCAGACUCCUACGGGAGGCAGCAGUGGGGAAUUUUGGACAAUGGGCGCAAGCCUGAUCCAGCCAUGCCGCGUGCAGGAUGAAGGCCUUCGGGUUGUAAACUGCUUUUGUACGGAACGAAAAGACUCUGGUUAAUACCUGGGGUCCAUGACGGUACCGUAAGAAUAAGCACCGGCUAACUACGUGCCAGCCGCCGCCGUAAGAC
rnacentral:rRNA from 1 species